rnacentral:rRNA from 1 species
AUACGUAGGGGGCUAGCGUUAUCCGGAAUUACUGGGCGUAAAGGGUGCGUAGGUGGUUUCUUAAGUCAGAAGUGAAAGGCUACGGCUCAACCGUAGUAAGCUUUUGAAACUAAGAGACUUGAGUGCAGGAGAGGAGAGUAGAAUUCCUAGUGUAGCGGUGAAAUGCGUAGAUAUUAGGAGGAAUACCAGUUGCGAAGGCGGCUCUCUGGACUGUAACGGACACUGAGGCACGAAAGCGUGGGGAGCAAACAGGAUUAGAUACCCUGGUAGUCCACGCCGUAAACGAUGAGUACUAGCUGUCGGGGGUUACCCCCCUCGGUGGCGCAGCUAACGCAUUAAGUACUCCGCCUGGGAAGUACGCUCGCAAGAGUGAAACUCAAAUGAAUUGACGGGG